rnacentral:rRNA from 1 species
AACGCUAGCUACAGGCUUAACACAUGCAAGUCGAGGGGCAGCAUGGUCUUAGCUUGCUAAGGCCGAUGGCGACCGGCGCACGGGUGAGUAACACGUAUCCAACCUGCCGUCUACUCUUGGACAGCCUUCUGAAAGGAAGAUUAAUACAAGAUGGCAUCAUGAGUCCGCAUGUUCACAUGAUUAAAGGUAUUCCGGUAGACGAUGGGGAUGCGUUCCAUUAGAUAGUAGGCGGGGUAACGGCCCACCUAGUCUUCGAUGGAUAGGGGUUCUGAGAGGAAGGUCCCCCACAUUGGAACUGAGACACGGUCCAAACUCCUACGGGAGGCAGCAGUGAGGAAUAUUGGUCAAUGGGCGAGAGCCUGAACCAGCCAAGUAGCGUGAAGGAUGACUGCCCUAUGGGUUGUAAACUUCUUUUAUAAAGGAAUAAAGUCGGGUAUGGAUACCCGUUUGCAUGUACUUUAUGAAUAAGGAUCGGCUAACUCCGUGCCAGCAGCCGCGGUAAUACGGAGGAUCCGAGCGUUAUCCGGAUUUAUUGGGUUUAAAGGGAGCGUAGAUGGAUGUUUAAGUCAGUUGUGAAAGUUUGCGGCUCAACCGUAAAAUUGCAGUUGAUACUGGAUAUCUUGAGUGCAGUUGAGGCAGGCGGAAUUCGUGGUGUAGCGGUGAAAUGCUUAGAUAUCACGAAGAACUCCGAUUGCGAAGGCAGCCUGCUAAGCUGCAACUGACAUUGAGGCUCGAAAGUGUGGGUAUCAAACAGGAUUAGAUACCCUGGUAGUCCACACGGUAAACGAUGAAUACUCGCUGUUUGCGAUAUACAGCAAGCGGCCAAGCGAAAGCGUUAAGUAUUCCACCUGGGGAGUACGCCGGCAACGGUGAAACUCAAAGGAAUUGACGGGGGCCCGCACAAGCGGAGGAACAUGUGGUUUAAUUCGAUGAUACGCGAGGAACCUUACCCGGGCUUAAAUUGCAGAUGAAUUACGGUGAAAGCCGUAAGCCGCAAGGCAUCUGUGAAGGUGCUGCAUGGUUGUCGUCAGCUCGUGCUGUGAGGUGUCGGCUUAAGUGCCAUAACGAGCGCAACCCUUGUUGUCAGUUACUAACAGGUUCCGCUGAGGACUCUGACAAGACUGCCAUCGUAAGAUGUGAGGAAGGUGGGGAUGACGUCAAAUCAGCACGGCCCUUACGUCCGGGGCUACACACGUGUUACAAUGGGGGGUACAGAGGGCCGCUACCACGCGAGUGGAUGCCAAUCCCCAAAACCUCUCUCAGUUCGGACUGGAGUCUGCAACCCGACUCCACGAAGCUGGAUUCGCUAGUAAUCGCGCAUCAGCCACGGCGCGGUGAAUACGUUCCCGGGCCUUGUACACACCGCCCGUCAAGCCAUGGGAGCCGGGGGUACCUGAAGUGCGUAACCGCGAGGAGCGCCCUAGGGUAAAACUGGUGACUGG